rnacentral:rRNA from 1 species
AUUGGAGGGCAAGUCUGGUGCCAGCAGCCGCGGUAAUUCCAGCUCCAAUAGUGUAUAUUAAAGUUGCUGUGAUUAAAACGCUCGUAGUUGAAUUAUAAAGCGCUUAGCGUAUGGGUGCCCUGCUCGGCGGGGAGGAAAUACGCAUCAAACGGUGCGAAGGCGAUGCCGGUUUCCGCCGGUGUCAUUACUUUGAAAAAAAUAGGGUGUUCAAAGCAAAUCUUAUGUUAAUGCAUAAUGAAGCAUGGGACAAUAUCGAGGAGAUCCUUCGGGAUUUCGGGAUAAGGAUUAAGAGGAACAAUUGGGGUGAUUCAGAAAAUGACGGGAGAGGUAAAAUUCCAUGAUCGCCAUAAGAUGCACGAGAGCGAAAGCAUUUCACUCAAUUGCGUUCAUUAAUCAAGAACGAAAGUUAGGGGAUCGAAGACGAUUAGAUACCGUCGUAGUCCUAACUAUAAACGAUGUCAACCAAGGAUUGGAUUAGUUUAAGAGGGACAGAAGUCCGGCAACGCUGUUGUUGGGCUGACGGACCUCGCUUCCACCUUAUUCAGAACUUAAAGAGAAAUCUUGAGUUUAUGGACUUCAGGGGGAG